UACGUAGGGUCCGAGCGUUGUCCGGAAUUACUGGGCGUAAAGAGCUCGUAGGCGGUUUGUCGCGUCUGCUGUGAAAACCGGAGGCUCAACCUCCGGCCUGCAGUGGGUACGGGCAAACUAGAGUGCGGUAGGGGAGAUUGGAAUUCCUGGUGUAGCGGUGGAAUGCGCAGAUAUCAGGAGGAACACCGAUGGCGAAGGCAGAUCUCUGGGCCGUAACUGACGCUGAGGAGCGAAAGCAUGGGGAGCGAACAGG
rnacentral:rRNA from 1 species